GAAUUGACGGGGACCCGCACAAGCGGUGGACAUGUGUUUAUUCGAAGCACGCGAAGAACCUUACCCAGGGCUUGACAUCUGACGAUCUUUGUGAAAGCAGAGAGUGCUCUUCGGAGAACGUCAAGACAGUGGUGCACGUUGUCGUCAGCUCGUGUCGUGAGAUGUUGGGUUAAGUCCCGCAACGAGCGCAACCCUCGUUAUUAGUUGCAGAUAAUGGUAUACUGUUAUUAUGCUCUCUAAUGAGACUGCCGGUGAUAAACCGGAGGAAGGUGGGGACGACGUCAAAUCAUCAUGCCCCUUAUGUCCUGGGCUACACACGUGUUACAAUGGCCGGAACAACGAGCCGCCAACUCGCAAGAGUGAGCAAAUCUCUGAAAACCGGUCUCAGUUCGGAUUGGACUCUGCAACUCGAGUCCAUGAAGUCGGAAUCGCUAGUAAACGCAGAUCAGCACGCUGCGUUGAAUACGUUCCCGGGUCUUGUACACACCGCCCGUCACACCAUGGAAGUCGACCACGCCCGAAGUACGUGAGCUAACCGUAAGGAAGCAGCGUCCUAAGGCAGGGUUGGUGACUGGGGUG
rnacentral:rRNA from 1 species